UAUUGUGAAACUUCUCUUUUAGAACUGUUAAUACACAGCAGCCACACACACACACAGCAAAAUGCCUGAAGCUGAGGUAGUAUACUCCGAUGUGAAGUUUGCAAGAGGAAAAAAGGGAGCCAGUGAGGCCGUUACCCCAUCGACUGACUCGACUUACUCUGAAAUCAAGAUCUCAAAGACUCAGCCAUCCACAGCACAGCUGUCUGAGGGUCCUCAACAAGCUGCAGUGAGCAAAGGGUCAAAGGUCACCUCAGAGAGAGUGGUCCUGGUGGUUCUCAGUGUUCUCCUGGCAGCUGCUCUCGUUGCUCUGUGUUUUACCACAUUUGAUAAAAGUAGAACUAACCAAGAGCUUGAAAAUCUGAAACUUGAAAAAACGAAGUGUGAAAGUAAUCUCACAGAGACUCUCUCUAAAAUAAAACCAUGCAGCACGGUGCAGCCGACCUGUCCAGGACCUACAGUAAUAGAUGAUCCUUGUUAUAAAUGUGAAGGAGGCUGGGAGCUACAUGGAGGAAAGUGCUAUUACUUCUCCAUCAGUAAAUCAUCCUGGAACCAGAGCAGAGAUGAGUGUAGAGCUAAAGGAGGAGACCUGGUUAAGAUAGAGAGCAGAGAGGAGCAGAGUUUCCUGGAGAGAAGACUGAGAGAUGUAAUGACUGAAGGCAGGGACAAGUUCUGGAUCGGACUGACAGACUCAGCAGAAGAGGGCAGAUGGGUGUGGGUGGAUGGAUCAUCACUGGAUCAAAGUUUGAAGUUUUGGAGUGGCAACGAGCCAGACAAUUGGAAAGGGCACAAUGGUAAACAUCCUGAUGGAGAGGACUGUGCGAGGAUGGGAGAAAAAGAGUGCCGGCGGUGCCAGGUCCAUCGGUGCCACCAUACCUUUUAUCAUGCCAUUACACUUUCUACUGACCAUCCUCCAAACAGGCAUCACCUUUUGUUUACACCUGAAACCAACCCCAACCCCAAGGGACUGUAAUGACACCUCCUAGAGGACUGCUCCAAUACAUAUAAAAACGGUCUCUUUCACCAUAUGGAACAUCAACAGCGCAACCUAAAGAACACCUCUAACUAGCUAACUAAGGAGUGCAGGAUGACGUCUGUAUCAACCAUGACGAGCAGCCUGGACAUCGCCCAAGCCACAGAAGCUCUAGAGCGAGACAUGCAAGCGUGGGACCUCUCAGACUCCCCACCGCCUGCGCUGCUAAUCCAGACCCCACCACCUCCUCCCCC